UAAAAUGAUCUUUUAUUUUUCAAAGUUUUUAUGAGAUAAAAUGGUAUUUUAAUUUAUUUAGGGGUAAAAUUGUCAUUUCGUUUAAAUUAUUUAACGAUGUUAGUAUAAAAAUGGCUAAUUGAUACAAAUUUAAAAAGAAAGGUGGCGCAGAGAACAUGUUAGAACUUUGUGGUGGUUGAAUGAAUAUAAGGCAAAAUAGAGGUGGUGUAAUGAUAAUUUUCCUUGAAAUUAUAAUAUAUAAAAUACCAUAAGUUUCAAAAUUUAUCACAAAUUCUCUACUAUAGUACAUAACAUAAGAGAAAAACUAAUAAUAUGCUUGAAAUAGUUGAUUUGCCAUAUAAUCUUGAAGUUAUUGCAUGAAAUUUUAAUCUUAAAUACUUGAGAGUUGCUAGCAUUAUUUGUUUGAUUUUGAUUGCCAUGACAUUUUCUAGCUCAAAUUUAUCAUUUUCAUAUUGAGCAAAUAAUGCAUCAUCCAUUGAUAUUUCUCAAACAAAAUUAUGUAUUGCCAUGCAUGCCACCACUAUUCUUCUCUGUGUAUCAAAUGAGUAUGGUACCAUCCUUUAGCACACCAAAAGCACAUUCAGUAACAUUUCUCAAUUUAGCAUGGGCACAAUUGAAUAUUUCUUCCCUUCCUCUAACUGGACCACCAUUGCAAAAGUCACCCAACCAAUAACGGACAUGAUGCUAUGGUGCCAUAAAACCUCUAGUAUAUGAAUAUGCUGCAUCUACUAAAUAAUAUUUAUUUAGAAAAAAAAAUGUUGAACAUGAUUGACUAAGAAAAUAUAAUAACAUAAAUAAUAAUGAUCAAACUGAUAAAACAAUGAAUAUUGACAUACCAAGUGGUGGAAUAGGAAAAUUGUUUCUUGAAUUACCAAUGGUUUCAGUUAAAAACCUUAAAUCAUGUACAAUUCUUUUCCAUUCAACAACAACCUACAUAAAUGUGGAGAACUAGAUUCUGUUUUUUGGGGGCUUAAUAGUAAACAAUUAAGACUUUUGUGGUCUUUAUGCAGAUUGACUUCAGUUUGUGGGUCAAUAUGUAAUUACAUUGCUGACAUGGCUAAAAUCGUUAUGUUUGUUAAGCUAAUUCUGGAAAAUUUCCAGAAUCAGCAAUAAAAGAACAGCUGUUACAUAGCUUCUGGUGUGUGGGCGUUUCUUGUUCAUUUUUCAUCCAAAUUCAUUAAUUCUGGUUUCUCUGUAAAUCUUGUAAAUUCCUUUACAAGGUCCGAUCAAUUUGUAAUUAAUUUGAGCAAUAAAAGAGUGCAAAUGUUUUCUUUUCAAAUUGUGUUGCUUGGCAACUGUGUACUUUGAUCUGUUUUUUGAUCUUGUUAAUUGAUUCUUUGUUUUGCUUCGAUCUUAAAGGUUCUUUUGGUUAUUCUUGUCACCAAAAUACAACAGUUAAUAUCACGUCAAAAUCACAAAGUGCCAUUACAUUUUGAAAGCAUUCUCCUCUUCCGCAACCUCUAUAUGGUACCUGUUCAUCAGUUGGAAUGCAUGCAUUCUAUCAAUUGCGCCAAUAAUAUCCUGCAUAUUAAUAAUUAAAUUAUCUCAAAAACCAAAAUAAGAAGUGUUAUCCUUCAGAGCAUUAGUUUACACAAAGUUUUAUAUCUCAAAAGUUUGCCUUAAUUAAGUAAUAUGAAUGCCUUUGGAAUUAUCAGUAAAUGAUGAAGGAGUGAUCAUUUCUUUCGAAAACUUCAUCAUUGCCACUAGUCCUUAAUGAAAAUAUCUAUGCACUGUAUGACUUGAGUGCUGGAAUCUAAUUCUAAUGAACCAAUUUUUAGAAUAAGAAAUCCUUUGGUGAAAACCAUCACCUAUAAUUCAAGAACAUUCAUGUUGUAUCACCAAGAAUCAAUAACAAAAUUAUGCAAAAGUGUACCUGAAUUCAUAAUACUUAAUUGCUCUCUAGAGUUGUGUGGUUGAUAUUUCAGAUCAACACGUUCUCAUAAAGAAUCCUUUAAUUUUCUCUGUGCUCUCUCUCUGAUGAUAGAAUGUCAGAAAAAAUAAAAAGAUACAUGUGACUUGGGGAUCAUGACCACUUAUAUAGAUAACUUCUUUUAUUGUCUUUAGAUAAUUAUAUUUAAACUCAUCAUAGAAAUAGAAAUUACCUCUUUAAGUCUUUACAUAUUAAAGACUCAUACCCUAUUAGAUACAUUAAAGCUCAUAUUACUCAAAACCUUAAUAGAUCACUUUUAAUUGGGCUUUACCCUAUAUGACAUUCCGCAACACAUAAUUAUUUAUAUAUAAGUCCAAUGUUAGAUUAAGGAUCCAACAAUACUAGAUUAAAAAAUCCAACACCGAUGUCGAAGAUUUUGGCUGAUUGUAAAUAAGAACAUAGCCAUUUUCUUUUCAACAAUUGAAUGUUUACCAUUAAGAAGCCAUCAUUUUUCUUUGAACAAGUGACACAUAGAUAUAUCCAUCCGCACAAGAUCAUAGCAUAUUGUUGGCAAUCCAUUUAAAGUUAUUGAAUGUAAAGAGAUCCUGCACAAUAUGAUGUAAAUCCUGCUAGAGAUUAUGUAAAUUAAGAGAUCCUUUUUCUUUGAACAAUUGACAUAGAGGUAAAUCCCUUUAGCCGACACUUUCGAUAAAAUUUUCACUAUUAUGAUCAAUCGUUUCCGUAAUAUUCUUUUAACCUCAUUCCUUAUGCCAACUCAUCACUCAUAGACAUAUCUAUCAAUAUACAAAAAUAAAUAAACAAAUAUGUAUUACACAUGUAACACCUAAAGAAGAACAUUUAUUAUCAAUUGAAUAUUGGACAUACCUACUAUUAAAAUCCAAAGUAUCGCUUAGGCACAAUCUAUUUGUGAGGGGAUAUAACAACCUGACCAUAUAAAUAAAUUUAUAAGAAAUUGCAACUUCAAAAAUAAAGUAAACAUAAACCACAUAAAGCACACUUUGGCAGCAGGAUAAUCGUCAAAUAUUCAAAUAACCAAAACACACAAUUCUUUACACAAACCAAAGUUCAACAAUGACCCCACUCAAAACGUUGACUCAUUACAUGAACUAAAAGCUAUAAAAUCCGAAAGUUCCAUAAUGACAACAAACAAAACAUUGACAAAUAAACUAGGAAAAAGAUAUUAAGGCCCUCUUGAUAAACAAAAAUUCCAUCCAAUGCAUUCUUCGUCACACUCCAUGUCCAUCUAUAGUUCUCGAUAUUCUCUUAUUGCAAAGUGAUUUAAUAUGUAAUAGGGUAAAUACUCAUUUAAUCCUUAUAUUUUAAUUUAAGUAUUUAUUUAAUCAAUAUAUUUAAAAAAUACUUCAUGACACCCAUGUUGUUAUACUUUUAACCUUACUUUUUCUUUCUUUUUACAAUAAUCUCUUGGCGACAAUAUUCUUGGGGAUAUUAAUUAAAAAAAUGAUAGUUUAUCAAAUUA
rnacentral:lncRNA from 1 species